UGUGUAGGCGGUCCCCUAAGUUUGGUGUGAAAUCUCCCGGCUCAACCGGGAGGGUGCGCCGAAAACUGGGGGACUAGAGUGUGGGAUGGGUAAGUGGAAUUCCUGGUGUAGCGGUGAAAUGCGUAGAUAUCAGGAGGAACACCGGUGGUGUAGACGGCUUACUGGACCAUAACUGACGCUGAGACACGAAAGCGUGGGUAGCAAACAGGAUUAGAUACCCUGGUAGUCCACGCCCUAAACGAUGCAUAUUUGGUGUGGGCCAUUCAUUUGGUCCGUGCCGGAGCUAACGCGUUAAAUAUGCCGCCUGGGGAGUACAGUCGCAAGGCUGAA
rnacentral:rRNA from 1 species